AUUGAACGCUGGCGGCAUGCUUUACACAUGCAAGUCGAACGGAGGUUGGGAGCUUGCUCCUGACUUUAGUGGCGAACGGGUGAGUAAUACAUCGGAACGUACCGCGGAGUGGGGGAUAACGAUUCGAAAGAUUCGCUAAUACCGCAUAUUCUCUGAGGAGGAACGCAGGGGAUCGAAAGACCUUGUGCUCUGCGAGCGGCCGAUGGCUGAUUAGCUAGUUGGUGAGGUAAAGGCUCACCAAGGCGACGAUCAGUAGCGGGUCUUAGAGGACGCUCCGCCACACUGGGGCUGAGACACGGCCCAGGCUCCUACGGGAGGCAGCAGGGGGGAAUCGUGGACAAUGGGCGCAAGCCUGAUCCAGCAAUGCCGCGUGCGUGAAGAAGGCCUUCGGGUUGUAAAGCGCUUUUGUCUGGGAGCAGAUCCUUGUGGCUAAUACCCACCGGGGAUGAGAGUACCAGAAGAAUAAGGACCGGCUAACUACGUGCCAGCCGCCGCGGUAAAAC
rnacentral:rRNA from 1 species